AUUUAAGGGCUGACUGCUGCUGAAGAAGGAUCUUUCUCUGGAGAUUGCUCCUCUUGGUGUCUUUUUGAUUCCCUGAAGCGUAGAGGUGGUGUGACCAGUGACACUGGAACAAGAACCAGUGUAAUUAAAUUUUAUUGCCCCUGGAGCCCUUUUAUUCCUCUCAGCAUCUAGUUACUGUGAAAACAGAGGAACGGUUAUGGGCUGGAAGGAGUGUUUUCUAACAGAAUCACAGAAUGAUGGGUUGGAAGAAACCUCAAGAGACCAUCAAGUCCAACCUGCUGCCAAAGCAGAUACCCUACAGUUGGUCACACAGGUUAAAAAAAUAAUAAAAAAAAUUGAAAUGAAAACAGUUCUUACAAUGGCUCAAAUCAGGAAGAUGUUUUCAGGAGACACUUACUUAGUACAGGACCCACAGGUGUCAAGGACUGUGCUUCAGUGACUGCUGAUGCUCGGCCACAGUGAGACUUCUAGAGCAAAUGCCUCUUUAAAGUCAGUCAGCUUAAGGAUGGGAGACCCACUGUGGCAAGUUAGAUGACACGUAUUUGACUUUGUGGGGUCAAACUGCCUCGUUUCACGUGUUACAAGAAGCAAAGUUAGGAUCCCCUCCUGGGACCCCUUGUACUCAAUGGAGAGAUGGGGCGAUUGCGCUCCCUGCAGCUGGAGCAAUUUGGGGCUCUGAGGUUUCCUGGUGCCUCUCUUCUGUUGGCUUCAGAGCAAAUGGAGAGAUGAACUUCCCAGCAUGGAAGUGACACAGCAGUUUAGGUUCUUGAAGUCCACGUGUGUGCUUUUGUCUUUCCGCUCCCCUGAAUACUACAAAACUCAGAAAAGUAUUUUUAUCGUUCCAAAGAUAUCUAUCUCUUUGUGUUGGCCUUCACUAAGUAUAAUUUAAAUUGUAAUUUAAAGA
rnacentral:lncRNA from 1 species